UGAGAAUUUGAUCCUAGUUCAGGACGAACGCUAGCGGCGUGCCUAAGGUAUGCAAGUCGAACGGUUCUUGUGUGUAGCACCUAGCAGUACAGACUUCUGACAAAAUGUUUUUUGACGAGCGUCCCCGCAGCGUAGCGAGGACCAGCGAGGAGAAAACAUUUUGUCACUAAACACUGUACUUCUUAGUGCUACACGCGAGGAUAGUGGCGAACGGCUGAGUAACACAUAGGAAUCUACCCCUAAGUAGAGGAUAGCCCUGCGAAAGCAGGAGUAAUACUUUAUGUGAUCGCAAGAUCAAAGUCCGCCUUUGUGGCAGACGCUUGGGGAUGAGCCUGUGGCCUAUCAGGUAGUUGGCGGGGUAAAUGCCCACCAAGCCUAUGACGGGUAGCCGGUCUGAGAGGACGAACGGCCAGAAGGGCACUGAGACACGGGCCUUACUCCUACGGGAGGCAGCAAUUGGGAAUUUUGCACAAUGGACGAAAGUCUGAUGCAGCGACGCCGCGUGAAGGAUGACGGCCUUAGGGUUGUAAACUUCGAUAAAGCACCGGCAAACUACGUGCCAGCAGCAGCGGUCAUACGUAGGGUGCAAGCGUUGUCCGGAUUUACUGGGCGUAAAGAGUUCUGUAGGCGGCUUUGUAAGUUGAGGGUUAAAUCUCCCCGCUCAACGGGGAAACUGCUUUCAAUACUGCAUAGCUAGAGAGAUCUAGGGGACAGCGGAACUUAUGGUGGAGCAGUGGAAUGCGUUGAUAUCAUAGGGAACACCGAGGGGGUAGCCAGCUGUCUGGGGAUUUUCUGACGCUGAGAGACGAAAGCUAGGGCAGGGAAACGGAUUAGAUAAAUCCGUGUACCAGGUCGUUUCGACGACUUGAGGUACUAAAAGGGUGUCCCCCUCAACAGUGAUGUUGAGGUGCGCAUCCAGCUAUAUCGGUGAAUGCCUUUGCACUAUGGGAAUUACACACCCGCAAAGGUUAACCCCGAGGGAAGUCGGUUUACCAGAUGGUAACCGACCCCGUAGAGACUAUGGAGGUAGGAAGAUAGUUGGUGUAGAAUGCUCUCAUGCAGACUGCACCUUUGUCGGAUCAAUGUAUAAGUAUAAUACUUGGAUCGUUGUUGGGAGAUGGUUCUUUAGCUUUGAAUAAACGCUAUAGAAACGCCAGAUUUUCCUUUAGACAUUCCAUUAAGCAGAAAGACUAUUUUUUCUGGAAAAUGGGAUUGCUUGAAGAGAUUUCGGGCGAUAAAAACCACUGGUAUCAGGGUUUGAGUAGCAAUGUUGACGGAUGGGGCGGACCAAAACUCCGUUUCCAAAGUCGAGCGUUGCCGCAACUAACCGCUGUAUAUAAACUAACAACGAAAAAGGGAAAGAAAGUUGUUCGUAGAAAAUGGUUAAACCUUAUGACCCCGUUGUCAUUGGCUAUUUGGUGGCUGGACGAUGGGUCAUUAACGGCUAACGUUAGAAAAGGUGUUUUGUGUACCGAUGGUUUUUCCCUUAAGGAAAACAAAAUACUUCAGCAAUACUUAAAGAUUGUUUGGGGUGUAAGUUCAACUUUAGGAGAAAGCUCCACAAAGCACCUAGGCAAAAGUCUACAGUACUAUAGACUUUAUAUUAGGUCUACCGAGCAACUUCAAAAGCUUCUUAGCAUACUUUUACCUUUUGUAAAGGUGGAAAGCAUGCUUCCAAAGGUAUUAGUACUUUACAAAGAUUCCCAACUCCAGGAACGCUGGAUCUCUAAAGUAGUUGAUUUGACAGGUUUUUCCAGAGAUAUUGUUGAAAAACAUGUUAGGGAAAGAAAGUCAAAACUAAAAGCCUUUAGAGAAUGAUAUAGUCCGAUCCUUUCGGUAACGAAAGAAAGACAAAUGAUUUUGUCGAUAAGUUAAAUCGACCCGUGUACUCCUAGCCGUAAACCAUGCCUGCUGGAUACUUGGGCUUGUCCUGGGUGUCGAAGCUAACGCGUUAAGCAGGCCGCCUGGGGAGUACGGCCGCAAGGCUAAAACUCAAAGGAAUUGGCGGGGUUCCGCACAAGCGGUGGAGCAUGCUCUUUAAUUGGCUGCUAACCCAAGAACCUUACCCAGACUUGACAUGCCGCCGUGUGUAGUUCCGCGGAAACGUGGGACGAUCCUCGGAUGGCGGCACAGGUGUUGCAUGGCUAAGUGACGAUGGCCCUUUCAGCCGUAAGGCUGAUCGAAUAAGUCAGCUUAUAACGGUGGAGUCCUAACGUAUAUUGUAGUAUUAUGAUGUACGUGGAGAAUACCGUGGGAAGUUUGAGCAAUUUACUGGUUAAUCCGAAUAGUUCUUAUAUCUUGGGACUUUGGGGUGCUGACAAGUAUGAACGGACCAGCAGUAUAGGUUUAAGUAAUACAGACCUUAAUCUAAUACGUAGGUUUGCUGAGUACUUGUUGAGUAGAUUUCCCAAAGAUAGACUCAGGUUAAGGAUUUAUAACGGCGAGGUUCCAAAAAUGUUCGAAUGUUUGAGAUCAAGUUGCUGUCGCAGUUCUAAAAAUAAACUGCCUGCAUACCACAUAUACGUAAAUUCACGACCUUUAUUGAGAGAAUUUCGUACAGCAUUGGCAUGCAGAAAUCUUCUGGUCAAAACAGCGCUAGAUGCUUAUCUUGCAGGUCGCUUUGAUGGAGACGGCUCUAUUUCUGCCUAUCGAAAAUACUGCAGGAUAGUCUACGGCAAUUGUGAUGACCUAGUAAAGGACAGGCUUCUAUUGAGCGAUCUUAAAACUUCGGUUUACAAGUACCAUAAAGCUGGAACGUAUUGUCUUUACUUUUCAGAGGUUACUUUAGACAGGUUUUUGGAACGUAUAAAACCGUAUUCAUUAAGUAAUAAAUUGCAAUAACCCUGUAUCGACUUUUCCAGCAAUGGAAGAAUGGAUCUCUUUCAAAGAGUCCAUUAAACGCUGAUCUCCGCCUUAGGCGGAUGAUGAUAUAGUCAGAUCUGUUAGUAAUAACAGUAGUUAACAGUUGUUAACGUAAUCGGUCGUCAGCUCGUAUCGUGAGACGUACCCUUAAGUGGGCUAACGAGCGCAACCCCUACCGUUAGUUGUAUCACUCUAGCGGAACUGCCCUGGUAACAGGGAGGAAGGAGGGGACGACGUCAAGUCAGGAUUGCCUUUAUGUCUGGGGCCAGAAGCAUGCUACAAUGGCGCGCACAACGGGAAGCAAGUAGGCGACUAUGAGCAAAUCCCUUAAAUCGCGUCUCAGUUCGGAUUGAAGUCUGCAAUUCGACUUCAUGAAGUUGGAAUCGCUAGUAAUCGGCGGUCAGCUAUACGCCGGUGAAUACGUUCUCGGAACUUGCAC
rnacentral:rRNA from 1 species